UCGCAUGUUUUCAUGUGAAAAAUGUAAAAAUCAAAGGACUUGUUUUGUUAUGUUCUCCAUUAUCUUAUUUUUAUAUCCAUUUCUGUUUUGUAUAUAUAAAUGGCAAAACAUAAGAUUUACACACAGUAGGUGAAUCCUGUUAAAAUACGGGUGAAUGUAAAGUCUGGAAAUACCAACAAUAUUUUUAAAAUAGAUAGAAUCCCCUUGAUUGUUUUAUCUAGGGCAAAGGUGCAAGUUUAUGCUGUGGAAUUUGGACACAUAAAUCAUCUGAGACAACAUAUGAAGAUGCAGGUGCAGUGACUGACGGGAACGUUGCUUUAGUGCUCGUUGCUCAUUGCAGUUUCGCACUAUGCAUUACUAAUGAGGGGCAGUGCAAUCACACAUCAUUGCAAUAAAC
rnacentral:lncRNA from 1 species